rnacentral:rRNA from 1 species
CUGAAUAUACCGGUUCUCGUUAGAUUACCGAAGUCAAGCAUCAUUGGGCGCGGUCAGUACUUGGGUGGGUGACCACCUGGGAACACCGCGUGCUGUU